rnacentral:rRNA from 1 species
UACGGGGGGGGUAAGCGUUGUUCGGAAUUACUGGGCGUAAAGCGUGCGCAGGCGGUUAUGUAAGACAGAUGUGAAAUCCCCGGGCUCAACCUGGGAACUGCAUUUGUGACUGCAUAGCUAGAGUACGGUAGAGGGGGAUGGAAUUCCGCGUGUAGCAGUGAAAUGCGUAGAUAUGCGGAGGAACACCGAUGGCGAAGGCAAUCCCCUGGACCUGUACUGACGCUCAUGCACGAAAGCGUGGGGAGCAAACAGG